UGAAGCGGACAGCCGACACCACGCCGUCUGACCAAAGUGGUUUUUCAGAUGAGUAGGAGGGCGUGGCGGUUGUAUGGAAGCGUUCGUGCGAACGGGCGUGAAACGGCCGCUAGUGCAGAUCUUGGUGGUAGUAGCAAAUAUUCAAGUGAGAUCCUUGAAGGACGAAGCGGGGAAGGGUUCCACGCGAACAUUGAUUGGGCGUGGGUGAGUCGUUCCUAAGCCGAGUGGUUAUUGCUAAUUACCGGCGAAAGGGAAGCGGGUUGACAUUCCCGCACACGGAUGUGGAGGCGGCGACGCCGUAUUGGGGUGAUGACGUUGGCGGUGGCUCUGGGCAGAGUUGUCUUUUCUGUUUGACCGUCAGUGUGUGCUGUGUGGAAUCCGCUUGUCGGGAGAAACACGCGUGCACGGGCAUAGCGCCGGGGCUUUUCCGGCGUCCAGAUCGCCACCGACGACCCUUGAAAAAUCACUUGCUGAACACGAAAUUUAUUUUGUGAAAAUCCACGCCGUGGCGUACCGAUCACCGCAUCAGGUCCCCAAGGUGAACAGCCUCUGUCCAAUAUGAAAAAUGCAGGUAAGGGAAGUCGGCAAAUUAGACCCGUAACUUUGGGAAAAGGGUUGGCUCUAGUGCUGCGUGGGAGUGGUUGUUGUAUGUCGGCGACGUGCGAGCGGCAGUUUUGUUGCGGUGGGUCUCUUUCGGGAGAACUGCUGUGACUGGCCGCCCUCGGCGUUGCUGCGUGCGACGACGCCCACAGCAUGCAGCAAACUAGAACUGCAACGGGCAAAGGGAAUC
rnacentral:rRNA from 1 species